AUUGAACGCUGGCGGCAGGCCUAACACAUGCAAGUCGAGCGAGCGGCGGACGGGGGAGUAAUGUCUGGGAAACCGCCUGAUGGAGGGGGGUAACUACUGGAAACGGUAGCUAAUACCGCAUACCAUCAGAUGUGCCCAGAUGGGAUUAGCGAGUAGGUGGGGUAACGGCUCACCCAGGCGCCGAUCCCUAGAUGGUCUGAGAGGAUGACCAGCCACACUGGAACUGAGACACGGUCCAGACUCCUACGGGAGGCAGCAGGGGGGAAUAUUGCACAAUGGGCGCAAGCCUGAUGCAGCCAUGCCGAGUGUGUGAAGAAGGCCUGCGGGUCGUAAAGCACUUUCGGCGGGGAGGCGUUACCCGCAGAAGAAGCACCGGCUAACUCCGUGCCAGCAGCCGCGGUAAUUC
rnacentral:rRNA from 1 species